rnacentral:piRNA from 1 species
UCAGGUGUUUUGGUAAAGCUGUUGUCCUUU